GGCAUAUUUCGCGCAGGCGGCGCUCGACCGCCCGUUCCGGCGAUGAUCGCUUUCAUUGACGGUGCCUAUGCGUCGAACCGAUCUGCUUUGUCCUGCCGAACGCCCCA
rfam:Sphingomonas sp. Leaf34 contig_2, whole genome shotgun sequence.